ensembl:lncRNA
GGUAAUAUGUUGCACUAAAACGGUUUGUAUAACAGAGCUGCUUCUACAACAGAAUGGAAACCAAAUCCGAUCUGAUCUGUAAUGUCUGACCAGUUGGGGAAGAAGUAUGCUGAUUUCUGUCUGUCAUUUUUCUUUCAAGAAAUGAAUAAGUGAUCAUGAGGAAUCAGUUAAGGGAAUAUCUUAAGGAGUAAAGCACAUGUCAGUGUUGUCAGAUGUUACAUGGUAGCUGUCAGAGUUUUGACUGAUGUACAAGGACUACCUGCUCAUGUUUGCCCUUCCUUUCUGUUGAGUGCACACAGAUAUUUCUUAAAUCUCACUUUACCUGGAAAAGCUCAACUCAUUUUGAAGACCUCUAUUCAGAAAAUAACUGCAACUAUCCAUCCAGGGAGGAAUCAUAGGAGCCCUGCGGUUUCUAUGAACUCAGAUGUUUUCUGGAUAUCAGCUGCGAAAAUCAUGCAUUCACAAGAAUUGAAGCUGCCUGACAAUCCCUGGAGGCAUGUAGCAGAAAUACGAAGUCAUGGCCUGCAACAGUGAUUGAGCACCUGGUGAGAAGGCAGGGCUAACCUAGGGUUGCUCAGCUGUAUACAAAGCAC